rnacentral:rRNA from 1 species
UUCGGGCGGUUCCCCCUUCGGGGGGACAGGGUGACAGGUGGUGCAUGGUUGUCGUCAGCUCGUGUCGUGAGAUGUUGGGUUAAGUCCCGCAACGAGCGCAACCCUCGCCUCUAGUUGCCAGCAUUCGGUUGGGCACUCUAGAGGGACUGCCGGCGACAAGUCGGAGGAGGGUGGGGAUGACGUCAAAUCAUCAUGCCCCUUAUGACCUGGGCUACACACGUGCUACAAUGGGCGGUACAAAGGGCUGCGAACCCGCGAGGGGGAGCGAAUCCCAAAAAGCCGCUCUCAGUUCGGAUUGCAGGCUGCAACUCGCCUGCAUGAAGCCGGAAUCGCUAGUAAUCGCGGAUCAGCAUGCCGCGGUGAAUACGUUCCCGGGCCUU